ACAAACCCUAGUUACAUGGGCUCGAAUGGGCCAGUGCGGUCUAGCCCGAAAAAUAGAAAGUUAAGCCCGGUACAUUGCAAUAACUUGCCCAGUUGCAGAGUGGGCCUCCGUUUCUAGAGGCGAGGCGAGAAAUGUCGCCCUCCGUCUCCGCCGCCGUUCUCCGCCGCCUCGGCGACCGGCUCGGCCUCCGCCGACUCGCCACGCUCCCCGACUACGCGGCCGGCGCCGAUGAGCUGCCGCAGCACCCCACCUCCAAGGACGCCUACUUCGCGGCGGUCAACCACCUCUCCACCAUCGUACGGCGCGACUUCUACCUGGAGCGCACCCUGAACCGCCUCCGCCUGCCGUCCCCCUUCCCGCCGGACCUCGCGCUCCGCGUCAUCCGCGCCGCUGCCCCCUCCGAGCCCCUCCACGCCGCCCGCUUCCUCGCGUGGCUCCGGGCGAAGCCCAAUUUCUCCCCCUCCGCCGAUCACUUCGACGCGCUGCUCCUCCCGCUCGCCCGCGCGCGCCUCUUCACCCACCUCUGGACCCAGGCCUCCGACAUGCGCGCGCUCGGCCUCCCCCUCUCUCCGGCAACCUUUUCGGCGGUGAUCUCGUCCUACGGCCACUCCCGCCUCGCUGAGCAGGCCGUCGAGGUCUUCAAUCGCCUUCCCCACUUCGGGUGCCCGCAGACCACCGAGGUCUACAACGCCCUUCUGGACGCGCUCUGCGCCAACGGCAACUUUGCCGGCGCCUACAAGCUGCUCCGCCGCAUGGCGCGCAAGGGCGUGGCCCCCGACCGCGCCACGUUCAGCACGCUCGUCGACGCCUGGUGCGCGUCGGGGAAGCUCCGGGAGGCGCAGGCGUUCCUCGACGACAUGUCGUCCCGCGGGUUCCGGCCGCCGGUGCGCGGCCGGGACCUCCUCGUCGACGGGCUCGUCCGAGCUGGGCGCCUGGAGGAAGCCAAGGCAUUCGCCCUCCGCAUCACCAAGGAGGGCGUCCUUCCCGACGUGGCCACGUUCAACUCGCUCGCCCAGGCGCUUUGCGAUGCUGGUGAUGUGGAAUUCGCCGUGGGUCUUCUUGCCGAUGCUUCCAGUCGUGGCAUGUGCCCAGAUAUCUCAACUUACAAAGUGAUGCUACCGGCCGUGGCCAAGGCUGGCCGAAUUGAGGAGGCAUUCCGAUUGUUCUAUGCGGCUAUUGAGGAUGGCCACCGGCCCUUCCCAAGUCUAUAUGCGGCGAUCGUCAAGGCGCUCUGCAAGGCAGGUCGUUUCGCUGAUGCUUUCGCCUUUUUUGGUGAUAUGAAGUCCAAGGGGCACCCACCCAAUCGGCCUGUGUAUGUGAUGCUUGUCAAAAUGUGUGUGAGAGGUGGUCGGUUCUUGGAUGCUGCAAACUACCUUCUUGAGAUGAGUGAGGCUGGGUUCGCGCCACGGGCGCCAACCUUUAACGUUGUAGUCGAUGGGCUGCGGCAUCUUGGGAAACAUGACCUAGCCCGGAGGAUGGAGCAGCUUGAGAUGUCACUAAAAGGAAACUGAAUGGAUCCGGAAGUAGAUGCGGUCUAGUGGGGCGCUGCGAAUUGCUUGGUAAAGUUUCUGAAUUACUAGUGUAGGUUCACAAGAAAAGUAGUGGUGGAGUAGGCACUAAGUUCAGAAGAAUGUAAGUUUUGUGGUUGCAUAGAUAAGAUUAUUGAAAUAUCCAUGGUCCAUUGGUGUUUGAUCAGGUGUUUUCACUGUUCAAUUUAGCACCAACUCUGUGCUCCAUGAUAAUUCAGUAUAAAGAUUGGAGCCAUGCUACCUUGUAUGAUUUAAAAGUGUAUUGUUGAGAUGUCACUAGAAGGAAACUGAAUGAAUCGGGAAGUAGAUGCUGUCUAGUGGGGUGCUGUGAAUUGCAUGGUAAAGGUUCUGAAUUUUCAGGUAGGAUUCCUGUCUUCUGAUUGUAUCCUGUGACAUAAACCAAUGUUAUGCUGUUGGACUGUUGGAUAUGCUGGUCGAGUGAUUUGUUUGUUUUGGGUAGGAAGGAUCAAUGAAUAAGAUCAUUGGAUAGCCUCAACUAAUGUGGUCAAAUUUGUGUAGUGAAGGUUAACAAGAAGAGUAGUGGUGGAGUAUGCAGUAAGUUGAGUGGAAUUUAAGUGUUGUGGUUGCAUAGAUUAGAUUUUGAAAUACCCACUGCCCCAUCGGUGUUUGACCAAGUGGACCAGGUGCUUUCACUGUUGAAUUUAGAACCAACUCUGUGAUCCAUGAGAAUUCAUGUAGAAUAAAGAUUGGAGCCAUGAUACCUUGUACGAUUUGAGAUCGCGUUGUAGAGAUAGGGCUGACUACUGAUAUUGUGUGCUGAAACCUCAAGGCAAAUCACUUACCAUUGCAAGGUUGAGGUCCCUGUGUUGUCUUCUGGACAAAAGAACAACACAGUAUGAGUCUUAAUGGGGGAGAUUUCAAUUUUUUGAGAUUGACAGUGCUCCGCCUUUUUGUAGAAUGCACAUUUGCGGAGACAAAGUGAUACUGAAAAUGGUUAGCUGUUUGAAGUGUUCAAAUCAGUUUAUGGUGGAAGUGUUUCGUUGGCCAUGCAUCAGUUUUAACUUUUAAGAUAGUUUGGUAGUACAUUGCAAUUGAUUCAUAUAUGUCCUGCACCACAGCACCGACACUCUUCUUUAAGGAUGAACAAUGUGAGAAUGGCCCCUGUGAAUCAGCAUACUGCAUGAAAUGAUUGUUACUCGUCCUUUGUAAUGACUAUGAUGAAGGUUGUUCUGCUUCUGCAUAGCUGUUGGUUGUUGCUUUAUGUUUUUUCCUUCCUUUUUUUGUGUGCAGUGUUUCAACUUUGCCCUUCGUGAGCAUCAGAUACUCGAUUGGCAUGCAGAAUUGGACUUACCUUACAGUGUCCUAAUACCUUCUGACAAGGAACCAUCCGGGUGCACCCAACGAGAUCAAAGCUGAAUGAACCUAUGUUGUUACAUCAUGUGGCCAGAAUAGCCGGGCAUGCGGUGGCUCGACGUUCACAAGCUGAUUACAGGCUAUUGUGUCUCCUGAACAUACUACUGCAGAACUCAAGAACUCCCCAGUGAUUUGGGGAAGGAAUUUGCCUUGCGUUCGAUGGUCUGCCUUCUGUAUGGCGACAAACUACUGUCACGGCGGUGUUAGUAAGCGUAUGGGCACGACUGCAGAAGGGGGGAAUGCAGAGAUGUUUUGAAAUCAGGAGGUCAGCUAUGAACCUAUGACUGAUCACACCGCUGAGGAAUGCAAAUUCGAGAAGCUGAGGGAGGAGUUGAUGAUGAGAUACAACAUUGUCUUGCAUUUCAUAGACUGGGAAUCGAUUUUUUUUCUUGUGAAAAAACAUUGCUUAAUGUGAAUGUUGCAAUGAACUGAUAUACCUUGUCUUUUUUCCCGACCGAAGGUCUUUUGAAGAUGCAUACAUUGUUCAACUUUC